AGCAGAGAUGCUGAAAAGUUCACAUAUAUAAAUCAACCGAAGGAAAUGAAAGUAUUUAUUGUAUAUAUUUAGCAAUUUAUUGAAUAGCAUUUUAUGCCACCGCUGAUUUUUUUACGUCGAUAACUCAAGAGGAAACAAUGGAUACAAUAUGUGGCCUUAAAAAGGCGUUCUGUACUGUACUAUUUUCGCAAAAAAUGGUUCGCAAACUAUCAUAGAAUCAAAGCGUUUGAAACAAAAAUAUUAUUAUAUAAAUAAUAAAAAACAAGAUUACAAUACAAGUCUUUCAAGAGUAUUCUGGAAUUAACGGAUGCAAUUUGAUAAAACUUGGUGUUGAUGUAGGGCACACCGCCAUUGUUCGGACCAUCGACAGAAUAACGUUCGUGGUUUUGAGCUUUUUCCAUCCAAGACAUAGAUUUGCUGAUGAAUAACAUCGCAAAGAUCUUGGUGUAUUGUCUUCAUACUUGGCCACAACAACCCUUCAAAUAGACCAGACUAAACUAAAUUAACUUGACCACCAUAUGAACAUUCAAGAAGUUCGGCCUACAUGUCAGAUUUAUGAAUGUGAACAGCAGGAUAUCGAUUUUAAGGAUGCUUUAGGGUCAAUGACAAUGAAAUCACGAAAGAUAAAGGCUAAAAUGUGAGACUGUCAAUCUGACUAACCUUGAAGUGAACAAAUGGAAAAAAUGUUUCUUUCAAUAGCAUGGGCUUUUAAGGAAGAGGUAACAGAGGCGCUUAUAUGAUAGAACAGUAAAAGCAGGAGUGAUAAUGAAAGAUACAUGUAGAUGUGUCUUCAUGUCGGAAACACUAAAGAAAUGGAAAUAUUGUGGUUUUAUCAAACUUAAAAGAAAUUGGAAUACCAGGAGACUGCCUGCCCUUUGCAAUGUUGGAUAAAGAGUUCUUAGAUGUGAUGUCGAAAGCCUCAUGAAGCCCAUGACUUAAUCUAAUUAGAAAAAGAAAUGACAUUGAAGAGAAAACUAGUCACCAGUCUUUCACCAAGAACUAGAGAUAACUUUCCAAUAUUUGAAAUAUAAUAUGAGCCGCGUCAUGACAAAACCAACAUAGUAGGUUUGCGACCAGCAUGGAUCCGAACAAGCCUGCGCCUCCGCGUAGUCUGA